AGUGGCGAACGGGUGAGUAAUACAUCGGAACGUGUCCUGUAGUGGGGGAUAGCCCGGCGAAAGCCGGAUUAAUACCGCAUACGCUCUGCGGAGGAAAGCGGGGGAUCCUUCGGGACCUCGCGCUACAGGGGCGGCCGAUGGCAGAUUAGCUAGUUGGUGGGGUAAAGGCCUACCAAGGCGACGAUCUGUAGCUGGUCUGAGAGGACGACCAGCCAAACUGGGACUGAGACAGGGCCCAGACUNNUACGGGAGGCAGCAGUGGGGAAUUUUGGACAAUGGGGGCAACCCUGAUCCAGCAAUGCCGCGUGUGUGAAGAAGGCCUUCGGGUUGUAAAGCACUUUUGUCCGGAAAGAAAACGUCGUGGCUAAUACCCGUGGCGGAUGACGGUACCGGAAGAAUAAGCACCGGCUAACUACGUGCCAGCAGCCGCGGUAAUACGUAGGGUGCAAGCGUUAAUCGGAAUUACUGGGCGUAAAGCGUGCGCAGGCGGUUCGCUAAGACAGAUGUGAAAUCCCCGGGCUUAACCUGGGAACUGCAUUUGUGACUGGCGGGCUAGAGUAUGGCAGAGGGGGGUAGAAUUCCACGUGUAGCAGUGAAAUGCGUAGAGAUGUGGAGGAAUACCGAUGGCGAAGGCAGCCCCCUGGGCCAAUACUGACGCUCAUGCACGAAAGCGUGGGGAGCAAACAGGAUUAGAUACCCUGGUAGUCCACGCCCUAAACGAUGUCAACUGGUUGUCGGGCCUUCAUUGGCUUGGUAACGUAGCUAACGCGUGAAGUUGACCGCCUGGGGAGUACGGUCGCAAGAUUAAAACUCAAAGGAAUUGACGGGGACCCGCACAAGCGGUGGAUGAUGUGGAUUAAUUCGAUGCAACGCGAAAAACCUUACCUACCCUUGACAUGGAUGGAAUCCCGCUGAGAGGUGGGAGUGCCCGAAAGGGAGCCAUCACACAGGUGCUGCAUGGCUGUCGUCAGCUCGUGUCGUGAGAUGUUGGGUUAAGUCCCGCAACGAGCGCAACCCUUGUCCCUAGUUGCUACGCAAGAGCACUCCAGGGAGACUGCCGGUGACAAACCGGAGGAAGGUGGGGAUGACGUCAAGUCCUCAUGGCCCUUAUGGGUAGGGCUUCACA
rnacentral:rRNA from 1 species